AGCGAGGACGAGUCUGCUCGGUCUUGGAAGAAAUUCGUUCGACGCGUUCAAGAUUGAAGUCAUUUAAGUGGUCCUGAUCACCGGCAGGCUGGACACAACGACUGAGGGACGGAGACAACGAACUUUGUGCUUCAUGCACGAACGUUGAUGCGUGAAUUAGAGAAGCCGAGAGUGCAUUUUGCACCUCGAUUACACAAGCAAGUUACGUCAAGCGAUGUCGUAAAUGGGUGAGUCAAUCGUCUACUGUGGUUGGUGUUACGUUCUGUGGAAGAAACGGAAGUUGGGGAAGAACAGCUAUCCAAAGGUGUGGAAGAGAUAAAGAAGCGUGACCACAGAGCAGCUGCAGUAGUGAAGGAGAGACGCAGUGGUCAUCGUUCAUCCAUAUACGUUGUGCCCCGUGUGUUCGGCGUUUGUGCAUCAUGACAAUGCACGCUCGCGAUGGACAAGCGUCAAUCCUGAAAUGGAUAUAAUUUUCGAAUAAAGGUAUUUGUUUGUUAUA